GGCAAGAAAGCCUGGUUGGUGGGGAAAC
rnacentral:piRNA from 1 species